rnacentral:rRNA from 1 species
CGCGUAGGAACUUACCCAGUAGUUGGGGAUAGCCCGGAGAAAUCCGGAUUAAUACCGAAUAAUCUCUACGGAGGAAAGUGGGCUUCGGCUCACGCUACUGGAUGGGCCUGCGUAAGAUUAGCUAGUUGGUGUGGUAAAGGCGCACCAAGGCGACGAUCUUUAGCUGGUCUGAGAGGAUGAUCAGCCACACUGGGACUGAGACACGGCCCAGACUCCUACGGGAGGCAGCAGUGGGGAAUAUUGGACAAUGGGGGCAACCCUGAUCCAGCCAUACCGCGUGUGUGAAGAAGGCCUCGGUUG